UGCCAGCCGCCGCGGUAAUACGAAGGGACCUAGCGUAGUUCGGAAUUACUGGGCUUAAAGAGUUCGUAGGUGGUUGAAAAAGUUGGUGGUGAAAUCCCAGAGCUUAACUCUGGAACUGCCAUCAAAACUUUUCAGCUAGAGUUUGAUAGAGGAAAGCAGAAUUUCUAGUGUAGAGGUGAAAUUCGUAGAUAUUAGAAAGAAUACCAAUUGCGAAGGCAGCUUACUGGGUCACUACUGACACUGAGGAGCGAAAGCAUGGGUAGCGAAGAGGAUUAGAUA
rnacentral:rRNA from 1 species